AGUGAACGCUGGCGGUAGGCCUAACACAUGCAAGUCGAACGGCAGCACAGUAAGAGCUUGCUCUUACGGGUGGGGAGUGGCGGACGGGGGAGGAAUACAUCGGAAUCUACUUUUUCGUGGGGGAUAACGUAGGGAAACUUACGCUAAUACCGCAUACGACCUACGGGGGAAAGCAGGGGAUCUUCGGACCUUGCGCGAUUGAAUGAGCCGAUGUCGGAUUAGCUAGUUGGCGGGGUAAAGGCCCACCAAGGCGACGAUCCGUAGCUGGUCUGAGAGGAUGAUCAGCCACACUGGAACUGAGACACGGUCCAGACUCCUACGGGAGGCAGCAGUGGGGAAUAUUGGACAAUGGGCGCAAGCCUGAUCCAGCCAUACCGCGUGGGUGAAGAAGGCCUUCGGGUUGUAAAGCCCUUUUGUUGGGAAAGAAAAGCAGCAGGUUAAUACCCCGCUGUUCUGACGGUACCCAAAGAAUAAGCACCGGCUAACUUCGUG
rnacentral:rRNA from 1 species